GCUCUGGGACAUCAUCCUGCAGAAGGACACAGAACGCCUCUUCCCUGACCCUUGAGCCUCACACAGGCAGAAAAGCCAGCAGCAAACUGCACGGUUCGAGAGAGGCAAUCCGAGACAGCUGGGCUCUUGCAACAGCCCGGAAAUCUGCAUGGCACCACCCUGUACUGCCCUCACAAGUACAGACCCCAGCCUGCUGUGAACAAACAUCCCGUUGCAGUAGAAGAGAAAGAAGUUUGAUUCUCAUCAGCUAGGACCAUCAAAACGCACCAAAAUGCAGAACUCCAGGGAAGAAACAGAUGCUUCAGCAAAUUUUGGGUUACAGGGUAGCAUUUGUUUUAAAAUUCUCUGCGUGGAGGAGGGAAGGGAAGACGGCUGCUUCAGAAAAGGUGUGAAGAACCUUGCCCUUCCUGAAGGUUGGCCAGACUUU